rnacentral:rRNA from 1 species
CCUACGGGAGGCUGCAGUGGGGAAUAUUGCGCAAUGGGCGAAAGCCUGACGCAGCGACGCCGCGUGAGGGAUGAAGGUCUUCGGAUCGUAAACCUCUGUCAGCAGGGAAGAACGGUCACUGUGCUAAUCAGCAGUGAAUUGACGGUACCUGCAAAGGAAGCACCGGCUAACUACGUGCCAGCAGCCGCGGUAAUACGUAGGGAGCGAGCGUUGUCCGGAAUUACUGGGUGUAAAGGGAGCGUAGGCGGGACUGCAAGUUGGGUGUCAAAUCUACCGGCUCAACCGGUAGCCGCACUCAAAACUGGAGUUCUUGAGUGAAGGAGAGGCAGGCGGAAUGCCUAGUGUAGCGGUGAAAUGCGUAGAUAUUAGGAGGAACACCAGUGGCGAAGGCGGCCUGCUGGGCUUGUACUGACGCUGAGGCUCGAAAGUGUGGGGAGCAAACAGGAUUAGAUACCCCUGUAGUC